rnacentral:lncRNA from 1 species
GGCUUUGGCCAGAGAGGUCACCAUCCACCAUUGGGCUAUGCUACAGAUCAUGUGAGAAACUGUAGUCCUCCUCAGGACAAAGUCAGCUGGCCUAAUUUAAGUCACAUUCCCCUGCAAUCAAAGCAAAGCCAGUGUCUUUGCACUGAAAUUAAUCACAACCUUUGAAAUGGUCCUUUAUUUCACUCAUCUGUGUGAGCAAUAAUACCAGAAGAAAAAAUUGUUACUGGAGGACUCAGUACGGUGGCACCUGUCCAUCUCGUGAUGCACAGAACUGUUUUCCAUGCUGCUGUGUGGGCUGGAAGCAGCUGAGGGCUAGGAUGCUCCCUGUGCACUCACACAGCUCCUGGCAUGGCACAGCUUCAGUUCUGGUAGCAGACAGGCCAUUGCUACAAUCUAAAUGCCUUUAAAAAAAAAGCCCACCUGCCCCCACGGAACAGCUUGUCCAAUGUACUGGCAUCGUCCCUGGUCACUCUCCAUCGGUGCAGCACAUCUGGCGGGGACCACAGGGGACACUGGAACCUGAGAGGGGCUUGGAUCUGUGCUUCAGUUAUGUCAUGUCUGAGUGGUGCUUGUUUGUGUAUUUUCAGAAAACCCAGAGUAAAAAAGGUUUUCCCCCAUAAAUUAAUAGUGACCUCAAAGCUCCCGUGGUGGAAAAACUGCCAUGUGAUGCAAUGCCAGUAAAAUAAAAGCAACUGCAACUUCA